rnacentral:SRP_RNA from 1 species
GGCCAGAUGCCCCGCAAGUGAUUCCUACAAAACCCCGUCAGAGCCGGAAGGCAGCAGCGGUAUGUAGCGGAUGCUGUGCCGGGGAUUAUCUGGUCUCU